rnacentral:lncRNA from 1 species
CUAGAUUUGUUGAUUCUGUGGAUUUUUGUUUGGUGUUCUUGACCCCUCUGGGUCUUACAAUCCUUCUUCACCCUGUCACACUGACUCUGUGAUGCAGAUGGACAAUGACUGCUCCCCUCUUCUUUAUUUAAGUUAUAUUUAUUAACACAGGAACUCAUAGAGUCAAGGCAAGUGUACUGUAAUCACUGCUGUUGACCUUGGCAGGUCCAAGUAUAAGAAUAAAACCUUUGGAGGGGGCACACUGGGAGAGAGGUGAGGAGCAGCCAUGUGAGGCUGAGAGGAGUCAGACACUUGGAGAAUCAUGAGUUACUCUUGCAGAGAGGAAGAUGUUGGACAGAGGUCAAAAGUGACAGGGAGAAUUAAAGGGAAGUGUCAGAAAUACAGUCCCCAAGAAACGUAUGAAAUCAGAAUCGAAGCUCUCACGGAUGCUGAAUCUGGGCAAAUGCCAUUUGUAGACGUCUGCAGUGCGCCUCCACCUGAGUCUCACCAAUAGAUUGCAACUCCACCUAAAAUCCCCUUUAAUCCAUAGGCUAGGAUUACAAUUAGUUCAAACAUCUAUUAUGUUUAUCCAGAAAGCCUUGGUCCAGUGAAAUAAAUAAACACACUCUUCAAAACACACAUUGGUUUAUUUCCAUUGGGCUAAUCUGGUGACUGAGCCAUGACUGACUGUGCUGAGCACGGCUGAAGGCAAAGUAGAGGCAGACCUAAAUGAAUGAGGCUGUGGAGCUGCAAUGGCCACACGCUAGCUGUGGCCUCUAUCCUCCAGCUACUUUUAGUGGAAGCAUGCAUGCACAGUUGUCUGAAGUAUGCAGAAAGCCACUUCCUUGCUUCCUGUGCUGAAAAGUCCUGUCCUGGAGAAGGGUGAAGAUUGCAAUAAGAGCAUAUUUACCUGAUGAGCUUUCCCUAUUCUCCCACUUUCAUUUCAGAAGUAUCCCUGGCCACCGGCAGAUCUCCCAUAGCCACAUAUUUAAAAGACCAAAAUCAGAAAUGUCUCCACAUAGGCCAACAAUCUCGCUUUACUUACAGUUAAAGAAAUGUAAAAUUUCAGAUAUUCGUAAAAUGUCACUGGCACAAUUUUUUCCUCUAAUCUGGUCAAAUAAUAAAGAUGAUACUUUUUUAUGGUUAACACGGUCCUGGAAAAUACUAUUGUAAAGGAGAAUACCUUGUUCAAAGGUGAGAUUUCACUAUUAAUUCAGAAACAAAUACAAAACAAACGGAAACUGAAGAGAAAUGCAUCUAGCCACUUUAGUUCCCUUGUCUCCUUGCUGGCACCUUGUGUCUAAGUGGUCCUUCACCCUCAGCUGAUUUUCCAGUCUACAAGGGGUGUCUGACACAGCCAAGAUGAGGAUGGAGUAGAGCCAGGAAUAAAAACAAUACUUGUGCUCUCCUCUGCCUUCUACAUCUUACACAGAGGAACGCUAGAUGAUCAAUGGUCACAAUUAUGCCAAGAACUUUGAUCUCAGACCUGUGUCCCUGCCGCUUCUCUCUCCCUAUACUGGCUUCUCUGAACUUAUAAUGAAGUUCCACGCCUAGCACUUUAAUUUUGUUUUCUGCUGAAGUCUGUUGUUUUAGGUAAAUUCACACAAAACACAUUAGCGGGUGUAACCGCAGGAUAAAUACAUUGUAUUAGCAACUCGCCAGAAAACAAACCACUCUUGGCAUUUAUAAAAUAAGAUCUAGUGAAGGAUUGGCUAUAUGGAUGUUGGAAGUGCUUAAGAUGCCAGGGAACAAGAUAAAGUCACGUAAUGGUUAGUAACUGAAGAAGAAUCCUGCUGUCUUCGGGUGAAGGAGAAGAAGCAGUGGCGGACAAGUGGUGUGUCAUGCCUGGCUGGCUGAGUCUCCUCCCAGGAACCUGUUUCUAAAAACUCUGCUGCCAGGCCAUUUUCUCCCUGGUCAAGGCUGACAGUGUUUCUGCUGUGAGCGCACUGAUGGUGAUCUCUCAGAAACUGGAUGUCUCCAUCUCUUUGCCACUCAACCCUCCAACAAUACUCGCUUUCUCAUCAGCAGAGUCUAUCAGGGAGCCCACCAACAAUGAGAUUUGAGAAAUACAGUCUGAGUGUUGGGUGUUGGAACUUUCCAGAAGAUAACCUGACUGAGAAGAAGGGCCGGGAACAGCACGCAGAGUUAAAACAAACAAACAAACAAACAAACAAACAUCUUUAAGCUGAGCUGGAUACAAAGGGUAUCCAGGCUUAGAAUAUUCAAAGCCUGCACAAAGCAUUGGGUUGUUUGUUUGUUUGUUUGUUUGUUUGUUUUUACUGAGUCUUGGCAAUACUCCUUCCUGUUUGGCAAUACUGUUUACAUAUUGAAAAGUACCUUGAAACUAUUGAGUCGUCUUAUUAAUUUGGCAUGUCUCUUUCUUGGUUCAAAAUUCUUAAGGAUCUUUUAUUUUCAAAAGAAACACACAUUGGUAAUCUUUGAUUUGAUUUAUUGUCCUCUUCUACUUCAGACUCCUAUCCUCUGAAGGAGAGCACUAAAAUCAAAUAGCUCUUCUGUGAGGGGUGACAGAGGUCCUUUGCAUUCCCCGCAAAGAAACUCCAUGCUGAGGUGUGGAGGGGGCUACCCAAGGGGACCCCUAGACUCCUAGGAAAAUGUCUUCUUUCACAAUUCUUAUAACUCACCCCAUAGCUCCAUCUACAAGUGCAUAUUUCCAAAUCUUGAUUCACCCUUUCUAUAAUUUGUAGCAGUGCUACCAGGGAGGCAGAGAGAGACUAACAGCUGCUCUGCCCAGCUCUGGGCAGAACCGUAUACAGAUUCAUCUCCCCAGAGAAUGACAAGUAAUGAGCAUUAGAGUCUGUUAAAGGGCUACCUGUUCACAGAUUUUGAGCCCUCAUAUCUUAAAACUUCACACUGUGUAAAAACAGUUUCAAAGGUAAGUGUUUCGUAUAUUAGCAUUCCUCUUUCAUCAUCCCUGUGGUGUUAAAGUUGCAGAAGAAUUCCAUUUACCUAUGCAAGACAUCACUAGUCAAACCAAAGAAAUCAGACUACACUGUACUGAUGAGCACAGAAAAGAAGAGCAGCACCUGUACUCCAUCCUCCUGCUGUGCAGCACAGAGGGAAGGAGGUGUGGAGGAGGAAGCAGGAGAGGGAGGGAAGAAGGCGGGAGGGCAGAAAAAGCAAGCUAUAGCAUCAGUUCAUCAGAUUAACAUAGGAACACUUAACAUAUAUAAUAAUUACUAAUUGAAUAAUUGCCUGGCAUGAUUUAUGAAUAUAGAGCCUGCUCUGACAUUUUGAAUAUUUUUUCUUACAAACACUUUUAAUACUUAUACAGUUAUACAAGGAAUGUACUUUGUCAUUGUCUUGAGCUGCCAGUUCUCAGUAACUUCAGAGGGUAUUUAUUAAAUAUAUAAAAUUCAGAUGAUCUGAAUGUACUUAUGGGAGGAGAAGAAUAUGAUCAAAAUAUAUUUAUAUUUGAAAAUUGCUUUAAAAUAAUUUAAAAAACAUAUAGCGAGAGUUGAAAGUGGAAAUCCUUUCUGAGUCAUGUUUUUAGAUUCUGUUUAGCUGGGAAACACAUGCCAUACGUACAUUCUCUAAAUGUUAGACCAAAAAGGUUUCAAUUGGAUGUGCAACAACUAAUUUAAAUGUUAUAGACUCACGACAGCCAUUUCAUGCCUUCUGAUGACCAGGCAGGGCUAUGUAUAAAUCAAUGCCGGUGUUGGUGAUGAAGUAGAAUACUGUGAUCUGCAUCUCACUUGCAUGAGAAGAUUAAAUGAACCUCAGAGGAAAAACACUCAGGAGUGCUGAGGCAAACAUCAGAGGCAAAGUGAGCAGGCUAGCUCACUGAUCACAGCUAAUCAGACAGAAUGACCCCAGGAACACACCACAGGAUUUCCAAGGACUUUGCAAUAGUGAGGUUCGACUCCUCCUGCUUUUUAAUCAAAAUUGGUCAGCUGCAUUUAUUCAAGAUGGGAAGAAGAAACAACAUGGAAUGGGCUUGCUCUAUGUGAAAGAUUUCAGCCAGAUACGUCGCAUACACCUGCUUACUAAGUUGUUCCAAUAAUACUGAAUGGAGUUACUAUCCACGUUUUGCAGGGGAGGCCACUGGUUCAAAGUGCAAGUUAAAUUGCUUCUCAAUUGUACACUACUAAUAAACAGCAAAGCUGGAAUCAUAAUUCAGGUGUGGCUCUUCCUUACACUGCCAUUUGACAGUUGAGGGUGCAUUAUCAUGUAGGGACUAGCAGAUCUCUAAUUCAGAGUGGCCAGUGCUAUGUGAAUCUCCAUAUCCUGUAAGCAGCGACCAAUACACACUAGACAGUUUAUAUUUCGGCUGUCUGCUUACUUAGCACCUGACCUGGUGACAGGUUUAGAAAGACUAAGGUUGCCUUCCUUACCUAUGUGACACCCCCACUCCCACCCUUUUCCUGUUCCUUUCACUUCAGUUAGCAUGUGGCAUCAAUUGAAGACUUAGGGCUCUGCACAUUCAUGCUUCUCAGCUCUCCCCAGUCUCUCUCUCUCUCUGAUUGGCUUCCAUGGUUCUGAGAAUGACAACACUUUUGGAGGAGUUUAAACAGCCUAGCAUGCCUCUCCAUCUUUUUUUUUCUUCCUAACUGUAGACCCCUAAACCUCCCUGUUGUUUUUUUUUUUCUUUUCAUUUUAUUUUAUGCGUAUUAGUGUUUUGCUUGCAUGUGUAUCUGUGCAUCAAGUGCAUACCUGGUUCACUCAGAGACUAGGAGAAGGGCUUUGGAUAAUAGGGAAAUACACUGUGGGUGAUGGGAAUUGAAAUCUGGUCCUCUU